rnacentral:rRNA from 1 species
ACGCACGCUGGCGGCGUGCUUCACCCCUGCAAGUCGCACGGAAAGGCCCUGCUUUUGUGGGGUGCUCGAGUGGCGAACGGGUGAGUAACACGUGAGUAACCUGCCCUUGACUUUGGGAUAACUUCAGGAAACUGGGGCUAAUACCGGAUAGGAGCUCCUGCUGCAUGGUGGGGGUUGGAAAGUUUCGGCGGUUGGGGAUGGACUCGCGGCUUAUCAGCUUGUUGGUGGGGUAGUGGCUUACCAAGGCUUUGACGGGUAGCCGGGCUGAGAGGGUGACCGGGCACAAUUGGGCCGGGGUACCGGCCCCGCCCCCUCCGGGGGGAAGGGGUGGGGAUUUUUCAACAAGGGGCGGAAGCCGGAUGCAGCAACCCGGGGGGGGGGAUGCGGGCCUUCGGGUUUUAACCCGCUUUCGCCUUUGACGAGGCGGGGGGGACGGGAAUGGGUAAAGAAGCCCCGGCUAACUACGG